GAUGAACGCUGGCGGCGUGCCUAACACAUGCAAGUCGAACGAGACCGCUGACUUCGGUUGGCGCGUCUAGUGGCGCACGGGUGCGUAACGCGUGGGAAUCUGCCCUUGGGUUCGGGAUAACAGUUGGAAACGACUGCUAAUACCGGAUGAUGUCUUCGGACCAAAGAUUUAUCGCCCAGGGAUGAGCCCGCGUCGGAUUAGCUAGUUGGUGGGGUAAAAGCCUACCAAGGCAACGAUCCGUAGCUGGUCUGAGAGGAUGAUCAGCCACACUGGGACUGAGACACGGCCCAGACUCCUACGGGAGGCAGCAGUGGGGAAUAUUGGACAAUGGGCGAAAGCCUGAUCCAGCAAUGCCGCGUGAGUGAUGAAGGCCUUAGGGUUGUAAAGCUCUUUUACCCGGGAUGAUAAUGACAGUACCGGGAGAAUGAGCCCC
rnacentral:rRNA from 1 species